AGCAGCCGCGGUAAUUCCAGCUCCAAUAGCGUAUAUUAAAGUUGUUGCAGUUAAAAGCUCAUAGUUGAAUUUCGGGAUUAGUACGUUGGUCGUGCCUUCGGUACGUACUGGUGUUACUGAUUCCUACCUUCUGACGAACCGUCAUGUCAUUAAUUUGAUGUGGCGGGGAAUCAGGACUGUUACUUUGAAAAAUUGAGUGUUUAAAGCAGGCUCGCGCUUGAAUACAUUAGCAUGGAAUAAUGAAAUAGGACGUUCGAUCCUAUUUUGUUGGUUUCUAGGAUUGACGUAAUGAUUAAUAGGGAUAGUUGGGGGCAUUAGUAUUCAAUUGUCAGAGGUGAAAUUCUUGGAUUUAUUGAAGACUAACUACUGCGAAAGCAUUUGCCAAGGAUGUU
rnacentral:rRNA from 1 species